UCUUUUAUGCUCAUUAAAUUUUGCAUGAGGUGCGACACUCCAUCAAAAUUUUACUCUUGGUUGUCUUAACUCAUUGGUGGUGGAAAUCCAUUCAUUCCUCCUUCCAUUUACUUGUUUUUGAUGUUUGAAGCUUGAGCUUUUAAGCUUGUCUUUGCUUUUCCAUGGUGGUUAAUGGGUUUGAGUGACUUUAGAUUUUUUUUUUCCUAUCCCUUGCUGCUGUUCCUCACUUUUUUCUUUGCAUUUUAUUUGGUUGGUUGAUGAAAAUAGAAUUCUAUGUGAGUUUUGGGUUGAAUAGAGCUUAACUUGAUGUGUGGGUGUUGUGGGUUUGGCUCUUUCUCUUCAUAUUUCGGUUUUGAUGUUUGAAACUAGUUUGGAACCAGAAUUUGAUGAUGUUAUUGGGGUUGGACAGUGGUUGAGUUGAAUGGUAUAAUGUUAUUUUCGUUUUUGCACAAGAGCUUGAAGAAAUGGAAGAUUAGGUGGAGUUGAAGUAGUAGUAGUGUGGGUUUAUUGUCUUGAAUGGAGUUGAACUUUGAAAUGGGGUCUCUUGGGUGUGUGUUUUCGGUGUGAGGAAGAAGAAAGAGCUGGAGGAGUGUCUUGGAGAGUGAGAAAACCGAAAUGGACAAGGAAAGGAAGAGAGAGGAGUGCAUUUAAGUUUUUACCACUUUUGGGCAAACAAAAAAGAUGCUUAUUUUCUUUCUAGGAAGAUUUCCAUUUUGAGCUUUGGCUUUGUUUGAAUUCCAGCUCUCAAGUGUCUAAGGUAAACAAUGUAACCUCAAUGCACUCAAGAAAGCAAGCAACAAACAGACUUGGCAAGCCUCUAAUAUCAACACUCAAAACAUCUAUGCAUGUUCAAAUCAAAAGGUCUUUUAUGGAUGUAAUGGAGCCAAUGACAAGGGAGGAUAACAUUUGGAUGAGAAGCUAUAAACCAAAAGAAAUAGAGGAGCAAUGGGGAAAAAAUGUAAACACAUUCAAACACAUCCAAAACCUCUAAUUCAAUCCUCUUCUUGACUCCAUUAGUCACAAUUUUUCUCAUUUUUCUGUAUUUUUUUUUUCUUUUUUUUUCAUCUUGUCUGUUUUCUUUUCGAUCUAUGUAGGACACAACUAUAAGAGUCAAG
rnacentral:lncRNA from 1 species